ACAUGCAGAAAGGCAGUGAUUAAAAUGUGUUUUUACUUCUUUGAUGAAAUUGUUUCGGAAAGCCAAUGCCUGUUUUUUGUUGCUGUUGUUUUCUAAUUAUUAUGACCAUCCCUAAUUCAUAGGUUAAAUUUAAACAAUUUAGACCGUUUAUCAACUCAAACAUGAGUCAUUCUGUUAAGAAAAAAAAAAACAGAAUGUCGAAGGCGGGGACCUUGGCGAUCAAAUCCCCGGCUACAGAAGCUGGCUCUAGGGACGUGGAAUGUCACCACUCUGGCAGGGAAGGAGCCCGAGCUGGUGUGUGAGGUCGAGAAGUUCCGACUGGAUAUAGUCGGGCUCGCCACCACGCACAGCUUGGGCUCUGGUACCAGUCCUCUCGAUAGGGGUUGGACUUUCUUCCACUCUGGAGUUGCCCACGAGACAACAUGGCUUCACGGGUAACUUGAUAUGGGGAAGUGGCGACUGUCUAACUACCUGGGCUUCCUCCUACCGUCCCGCUGUUGUCAGGUGUCGUGUUCGGCUGUGACCUUAUGUCACCAACAACAAGGAAAAUGAUGUGGUGGGCCGCAUCUGGUCCCCGGGCUUUGAGGUUGACACCCGUGCUCUACAGUGUAGAGAGAGACUCAGACUUGGGAGCACAAACACAAGGACACAGCACAAGAUCGCGCCACCUGGCGGGCCGCACUGGGGUGUUCGGCUAUGAUGCUCUGCGCAUGGAGGAGAGACAGCAUCAACGCCAGCAGAGGAAAAGAGCAAACGUCGCCUCUCAGCCUGGUUUACUUCUCGCCAUGAAGUGUCCUCGUUGCAGCAGACCUUUAAAGGCGAGAAUUGGGCUGUCCAGCCAUCUUCCCACACAUAACUUUUAGUGAGAAGAUAAGUCAAUGUGUGUUAGAGAGAGAGAGAGAGCGAGAAAGAGAGAUUUUGUGGUGUUUUCAGAUUCUGUUUUGACUGACUACUCACACGCUGUUAAGACUUUUUUUUACUUUUAAGAUUAGAGCUAAAAGCUUAAUGUUAAUACGUUUUACAUGUCACUUGAUCACAUUUGAUUUUUAUCAUGGUGUAUUGUACAUCAGCCUUUUUUCAUAAAUUUGUUGGUGCUCUGUUAUAUGUUUGAGUAAAUACAAUACAUUGUACCUUUUGCUGUGCUUUUGUAUAGUUCAAUGUCAUGGUGUUCUGUUGUUGUGGGCAGCAUAGGACAUAAUGUGUUUCUUUCCCCAUCAGUUAUAUAACAACCAUUACAGAGCGAUGAGAAGUGAAAAGAGAACAGAGAAUGUGAUGGACAGAACAUAAGUAGGAAAAUAACAGCAGCAGCAGAGGAAUAAAUGCUCACCAUUCAGAACCAUGCAAAGCCUCACACGCACAGAGGCAGUCACACACAAUACAUGCAGACGUUUACACAAGCAUGCAUAAUACACAAACAUGCUCACGAGGAAUUCUACUGCAAGAAUAACUCUGCCUCGGAACAGAAAGGACAAAUAUUCUUUGCAGCAUGACCAUCAUUCGGAGUGACUACAGGUUUUAAGCAU